rnacentral:rRNA from 1 species
CCUACGGGUGGCUGCAGUGGGGGAUAUUGCACAAUGGGGGAAACCCUGAUGCAGCGACGCCGCGUGUGGGAAGACGGUCCUCUGGAUUGUAAACCACUGUCCCCAGGGACGAAGAUGACGGUACCUGGGGAGGAAGCUCCGGCUAACUACGUGCCAGCAGCCGCGGUAAUACGUAGGGAGCGAGCGUUGUCCGGAAUUACUGGGGGUAAAGGGAGCGUAGGCGGGGAUGAAGGCUGGGUGUCAAGACUACCGGCUCAACUGGGAGUCGCACUCGAAACUGCAGGUCUUGAGUGAAGUAGAGGCAGGCGGAAUUCCUGGUGUAGCGGUGAAAUGCGUAGAUAUUAGGAGGAACACCAGUGGCGAAGGCGGCCUGCUGGGCUUUUACUGACGCUGAGGCUCGAAAGUGUGGGGAGCAAACAGGAUUAGAUACCCGUGUAGUC